AAUUAAUUUGUUGACUUCACACUUGUUUAAUAAGCUCAAUUAAAAUUGCUGAUAAAACACAAUUGUUCGAAAAUUUGUGGUCAAUACAAAAUGUUUUUUAUUUGGUUGAUUUUGGCUCUGGCCAUUUACGAUACAACAGCGGAAAUACCCAAAGAUCUAGAAGUUUUAAUUGAUUUGAGCGAUCAGGUCAGAUCAACCCUGAGAAACAGUGGUCCAAUGAUGCUGGUACCAAAUAACCUCAGGAAACGGAGUAAGGGAAGAAUGAAUGGAGAUGGUUUAUUUCGUUCAAGACCUCCCAUACCACUGAUCCACAAGGAAUUAUUAGAGGAUUUGGGUGAUUUAAUAUAAUUAAUGUGUGGAUA